rnacentral:rRNA from 1 species
GACGAACGCUGGCGGCGUGCUUAACACAUGCAAGUCGAACGGUAAGGCCCUUCGGGGUACACGAGUGGCGAACGGGUGAGUAACACGUGGGUGAUCUGCCCUGCACUUCGGGAUAAGCCUGGGAAACUGGGUCUAAUACCGGAUAGGACCACUGCCUGCAUGGGUGGUGUGGAGAGCUUUUGCGGUGUGGGAUGGGCCCGCGGCCUAUCAGCUUGUUGGUGGGGUGAUGGCCUACCAAGGCGACGACGGGUAGCCGGCCUGGGAGGGUGACCGGCCGCACGGGGACUGAGAGACGGCCCAGACUCCUGCGGGAGGCAGGAGUGGGGAAUAUUGCACAAUGGGCGCAAGACUGAUGCAGCGACGCCGCGUGAGGGAUGACGGCCUUCGGGUUGUAAACCUCUUUCAGCACCGACGAAGCGCAAGUGACGGUAGGUGCAGAAGAAGGACCGGCCAACUACGUGCCAGCCGCCGCGGUAA